AAUAAACGCAAUAAAAAACAAUGUCAGUGACGUAAUAAAUAUGUGUAAAUUUACACGCAUCAUUUAUUAAGCAUUAUAAAAAAAUCCAGCAAUAUGAUUAAACUUUGGUUAUUUGUUAUUAUCCCUGCAUUCAAAUGGUUGCAGGUUGGAGCAGGAAGUUAACCCUUCUGUCGCGCAAGCGCGAGCAUAGACAGUGGUCGCGAGGCCAUUCGUACGUCACGUGAGCGCCAUUUUCAUGAUAUGACCGUUUUUCCUCAGGCACACUUCAACAUUUUCUUCGCAUUUAACAUCAUUAUUAACAUGUAAAUAAUAUAAUUCGUAAACAUAACGUUUAUGUUAAUUUAUAAUAUGUUUUUUUUAUUAUUGUUGGCUUUAAGUUAAUUUGUCUGUCAGACUCAGUUUGUUCGUGUUGUAGCCUGUUAACAGUAGACCAAAGGUAUGAUGAUCAAUUAUAAAUGCAAUAUGGUUGAAAGGUCAGUAAACAAACAACAAAAAGGUAAUUUCUUAAUAGAAUGUCUAUACAUUUUUUGCUUUUGUUACAUAUUUCAUACAUCAAAAUCAUUAAACGUUAAUAAUUAUGUAUUCCAACUUGUUGCAGCUUGACAAAAAUGUAGCUUGAAGGAGAAGGGACAGCUGAGUAACAAAGUCCUGGUACGCAGACGACGAUACUUUUACACUGACAAGAGUGUAAUGAUGAUGGAGACACAAGCCAGAGAAAGGGGGACCAAACACCAGGCCAGAAUUCUGCAUGAGUCAGAUCCAGUGGGUGCAGAUCAUCAUACAGAUGGUUCAAGUGUGGAUCCACCUAAUAUUCAAGGUAAAAGAGCAUUUGUUCACAGCAUUAUCUAAGAAAACAUAUCACUAGAUAUUACAUAUUAGAUGUUAAUGUCUGACUCUGAUCCAUACGAAACAGAUUUUCUGUCCUGGGACACUCGGCUAACCAUCAAGAAAGAACACAGUAGGUUAACAAGAAUCUGACCUCACGUUUGAUCAUUACAAAAUUAUGGCAGUACAUUACACAUUUAAGGACUGUUAUUCCUCUGGCUGAUUUAAAAAUACCCAAAAGUUCUUAAAAAGAAGCAGCCCUAGUUAUUUUGGCUUGUUAAACAUAAACUAUAUAGACAUAACUAUUGCGACACCUCCUUCUAAUAAACAGGUUUAAAUACUUUACUUAUUUCCAUGAGCACAAAUCUUAAUGCUACAGCAUAUGAUAUUCUAGAAAAACCGUUUGAUGCUAAAUUUAUAGCAAGAGUUUUGGCAGGGCCCUUUUCAAUACCAACUUAAGAAUGACCCUACAAACAAAGUAAGGUUCAAACAGAAAAUUAGUGAUUCAGUCUGGUGUGGAAGAACUUUGACUGGUCUGAAUAAACCCCAGACCUUAACUCAGCUAACACCUUUGAUAUGACUCAAAGGUUUUUAGCCAAAAACUCAUCACCUAAACCUAUCAAUGACUUGUACAAGAAGCUGUUGUCAUUUCGGAACAGAAAAAGGCACUUACAAAACUGUUGCAACAAAAAUCAAAAUUAUUUGUAGUGGUAUUAUAUGGUAUAGCAUUUUUAUUUGUUUUGAUUGGACAUACUGGAAUAAAUAAACAUGUUUAUUAGAAUGAGGCCUCCCAAUACUUUUGUCUAGUGUAUUUGCCACAGACAGGGUAACGCAAUCCUUAGAGUGUGCUUCUUUGUAAAUGUGACAAAUGAAAAUGACCUGAUCCAUCAUUUCCAGCUCCAGUGGGCAUCCUUUAUCCAUCCAGACCCUCAUACAGAUGGUUGGAGUUUUGAUUCACCUAAAGUACCAUGCAAGAGCACUCAUUUUCCCUCUUGAGACCAUGGUGUGACCUGCAAGGUCGAAUGGAGACUGUAAGCGAGACAAUCUUGGAGUCACCUGCAUUCACUGGUCCAGUUGUUAGUCCAAUUACAGAUGGAGAUUAUAGAAGAGGAUGAUGUCUUUUCUCCAACAUCUUUCUAGACUGAUAAAAGAUCUAGACAGGCUCGAACAAAAGUUAACAGAGGGGCUUAUAUAGAGAAGGGUGAGCAGCUACACAUAAAAGAAGAACAUGGAGAAUCUGCCCAGAGGUGUUAACCAGCAAUGCAGCUAUACAACUAAAUUGAUGCAGGCGGAAACAAUGUGUGUAUGUUAUGUCCAAAUGUUGUUAUGUUCAAAUGUUUUACAAUAUACUUAAACAGGUGGACCUGUCAAUAUUGCAUUAGUCAAGUACAACUGAGUAGGUUAAGUUUACAUAUCAACGUCAAUAAAUAUAUAAAAAUAAAUAUCAGUCUUGACAGCAAACAUAAUAAUGUUAAAUAAAAUAAUAAUUACAGCUUUUUAAGAAAUUUACACGGGCUCAAACUAUCAGUGAAAUUAACUAUCAAAAACCUAAAAUAACCACAGACACGUGAAUAAAAUAUCUAACGUGAACUAGCUAGUUACUGUACAUACAUUGCUAAUUAUCAACGAAAUUUCUAGUUAACUGAUCCCACACCCAGCAUUAUUAAAAUGUAUUAUUACUACAUACCUUAAAC